rnacentral:rRNA from 1 species
AUCUCUUCUUCUGUGAUUUUUCUUUGAAUUUUGCUUUGGCUCUGUUGGAGUAAAAUCCAUAGGGCCAACAGAAAAAACUCCUUAAAACUUUUUAGUCAAACACUAAGAAAUCUUAAUUGAAUCAAAACUUUCAACAACGGAUCUCUUGGUUCUCGCAUCGAUGAAGAACGCAGCGAAAUGCGAUACGUAAUGUGAAUUGCAGAAUUUUGUGAAUCAUCGAAUCUUUGAACGCACAUUGCGCCUUUUGGUAUUCCAGAAGGCAUGCUUGUUUGAGCGUCAUUUCUCUCUCCUUAUCCAAGGGUUUUGUUGUUUAUCUCUCUUUAACGGAGAGUACAAUGAAAGGAAAUGGCAGUGCUUCGGAGCUUUUGCUUAUUAAGUGUUUUAGGUCUAACCAACUACACUUUUCAAAGCAGCUCUAGCAAGUUGGCUUGAUAACUUUUAAUCAAUGUUGACCUCAAAUCAAGUAAGACUACCCGCUGAACUUAAGCAUAUCAAUAAGCGGAGGAA